rnacentral:rRNA from 1 species
UGACGGUACCCAAGGAGGAAGCCACGGCUAACUACGUGCCAGCACCCGCGGUAAUAUGUAGGUGGCGAGCGUUAUCUGGAUUUUCUGGGGGUAAGGGGAGCGUAGGCGGAUGAUUAAGUGUGAUGUGAAAUACCCGGGCUCAACUUGGGUGCUGCAUUCCAAACUGGUUAUCUAGAGUGCAGGAGAGGAGAGUGGAAUUCUUAGUGUAGCGGUGAAAUGCGUAGAGAUUAGGAAGAACACCACUGGCGAAGGCGACUCUUUGGACUGUAACUGACGCUGAGGCUCGAAAGCGUGGGGAGCAAACACGAUUAGAUACCCUGGUAGUCCACGCCCUAAACGAUGAAUACUAGUUGUGGGGGUUUCAACUCCUCCGUGCCGCCGCUAACGCAUUAAGUAUUCCGCGUGGGGAGGACGGUCGCAAGAUUAAAACUCAAAGGAAUUGGGGGGGACCCGCACAAGUAGCGGAGCAUGUGGUUUAAUUAGAAGCAACGCGAACAACCUUACGUACACUUGACAUCCCGUGCAUUACUGUUAAUGGAGGAAAUCCUUUCGGGGACAAGGUGACAGGUGGUGCAUGGUGGUGGUCAGCUCGUGUCGUGAGAUGUUGGGUUAAGUCCCGCAACGAGCGCACCCCUUGUCGUUAGUUCCUACCAUUAAGUGGAGGACUCUAGGGAGACUGCCUGGGUUAACCAGGAGGAAGGGGGGGAGGAGGUCAAAUCUUCAUCCCCCUUAUGUGUAGGGCUCCCCACGUGCUCCAAUGGCUGGUACAGAGAGAGGCAAUACCGCGAGGUGGACCCACAUUUAAAAACCAGUCUCAGUUCGGAUUGUAGGCUGAAACUCGCCUACAUGAAGCUGGAGUUACUAGUAAUCGCGAAUCAGAAUGUCGCGGUGAAUACGUUCCCGGGUCUUGCACACACCGCCCGUCA